rnacentral:rRNA from 1 species
AGAGUUUGAUCCUGGCUCAGGAUGAACGCUGGCGGUAUGCCUAACACAUGCAAGUCGUACGAGAGUUUUUAACUCUAGUGGCGGACGGGUGAGUAACACGUGAGAAUUUGCCUUUAGGAGGGGGACAACAAUUGGAAACGAAUGCUGAUACCCCAUAUGCUUUCGAGUGAAAUGGAUUUUAUCCGCCUAGAGAGAAGCUCGCGGCUGAUUAGCUUGUUGGUAAGGUAAGAGCUUACCAAGGCGACGAUCAGUAUCUGGUUUGAGAGGACGAUCAGACACACUGGAACUGAGACACGGUCCAGACUCCUACGGGAGGCAGCAGUGGGGAAUUUUCCGCAAUGGGCGAAAGCCUGACGGAGCAAUACCGCGUGAGGGAAGAAUGCCUAUGGGUUGUAAACCUCUUUUUUCAGGGAGGAAUAAAAUGACGUGUACCUGAAGAAUAAGCAUCGGCUAACUCCGUGCCAGCAGCCGCGGUAAG